rnacentral:lncRNA from 1 species
GCCCAAUUAUCUCAUUGCUGAACAAAAGUAAACUAGGGUCAAAGAAUGGCUCUUUACCACCAAGUCAAAGAAAAUAAGUUUAAUCAGUACAUUUGACAUGAUGAUUCCCACAAAGAAACAUGGCUAUUUGGGCCCUAGGUAAAAAGUCUGAUCCAACCUCCCACAUUGCCUCACUGACUCACUGCCCCCCUCCCUCCCUGGGCUCCUUUUAGUCCUUGUGUAGAACUGAUUCUUUUGCCUUUCUCUAUCCCUAACCCACACCAGGGGAUGGAAACUUCCAGAGACUAGAAGUCAAGGAUAAGUUUGACCAGCUUAAUCCUGACCAUCUGCCACCACCACUACUGUGUUCCCAAGGAAAGGACAGAUUGCAAGGUAGAAGUUAUGCAUUACCUCAAUUUGGAAGAAAAAUUAGAGGCACAGCUUUCAAAACUGUGCAAAUUGAAAUGGCAAAAGGACCACCACUCCUCACCCCCAUUUGUCUCCUGCUGCAUCCCAUUAACAGAGAAUUGGAGUUCGUGCCAGCCUCGAUUCCGAUGUAAGCCAAUGCAAUGCAUUCCACAUUGUAUGGGCUUAAUAAAUGCUUUUUUUCAAAUGGAAUGGCAUCUAUAGAAUACUGAGUGCCUUACACAGUGCUAAGAACCUCAGAGGCCAUUUAAUUUUAC